UAUAUUUGGACAAAUGUGUUGUUAAAUAUUAUAUAGACAACUAUAAUGGCUAAAUCUGUUGUCUAUGACCAUAGAAAAAUGUGGUCAUAGACAACAGUGUUUGAAACAUGUUGUCUAUGAACGCUACUAGACAACAAGACUUAAUUUCUGUUGUCUAUUAAUACAAUAAACAAUAGAUUUUCCUAGUUUGUUGUCUUUAUUCAAAGCAUAUAGACAAGUAUUUUAAAAAUCUAUUGUCUAUUACUAUUACCUCAUUACGCAAACACUUGUGAAUUUUAAUCAAAAAAGAAAAAGAUAAAAUGUGAUGCAUUGUAACCAAGAAAAAAAAAGUUAGUUUCUACUUUCUAAAACUACAUUCAAUUUCUGUCGCUCCUCCUUCUCCCUCCGCGGCUCCGCCGCUGCGCCUACCACCACCGGCUGCCGUCGCCAUCAACUCACUCCAGCCUGACGCCGCCUCCUUCACCAGCUCAACGCCGCCCGAUGCCCCUACCUAACCCACUGCGUGCACACCAGCCCUGAAUCUCUCUCUUUCUCUCCUUCGGCGAACGGUUGCUCGGCGGGAACUCAUUGUCAUCACUCCCUCUACCACCGUCGCCCUUCCUCGCCGAAACGCAGCGGCAGAUCCGUCGACAUCUCCUCCAUCGACGCCUUUCAACUGGCCCAUCAUCAUAGCAAAACCUAGGUGCAAUUGAGCUUUAUGCAGCGCUCGAUUGUGUGCGAAUUUGGGAUGAAGAAGGCGGAUUCAAUGGCAAAGAAGGCUCACCAAUCGGAGAAGAGGCGGAACAAGGCCAAGAAGUUAGGACUCGGAUAAAAAAGGUUUGUUCGUGAUUUAAGGUUCACUAUCUCAAUUCAUGAAUUUAACAUCUCUCAAUAUUUGUUAAUCUUUUUAAUUGCAUUAUUCAAAUGGAAUAUGAGGAUGUCUGGCAAAUUAUCUCUUGUGAUUAAAUUUGUUUUGGUGGAUUUGCAGAAUUUGGGUUUAUUGCUGAAUUUUUCAAGUACUUUGGACUAAAUUUAGGAUAUAGUCAUUUAGCUUCAAGGGAAAAUUUGUGAUGUAGUGGAGUUUGCAGCAUAAGUUGUCAAUGUCAUGAGUUUUAUCUGUUCAUGAUAAAUGAUUAUGUUGCCUUCCCUCCUAUAAAGAGGACUGAUUCUUAGCAUUCAACCUCACCAUUAACUCUAGCUGGUUCAAGCUUCCCCACACAUGUUCCUCUUGUUACCCGAUCCUCUGUGUUCUCUUGAAAAGUUACACAAGGUAUGUUUUCUUUCUUUCUAAUUUCUGAAUUCAAAGUAUGUCAUUUUGUUUAAAUUGUUUGAAGAUAUGAAGUUGUUGUUAGUCUAGGAAAAUUUGAUGGUAUGUUUCUUCGUGGUUUACUCCAAGCCUGCCCUAGCAACUUGCUUCUUCGUUCCUCUGUUUUCUGUGUAUUGUAUUCUGAUUUAAUGAAUGUAUAUUUAUGUAUAUGUUUAAGAAUUAGUUCACGGAUAAGUCGAAUACCUCUAUAUCUGGCUGUUUCAAAAAUUUAGUUGUCUUAACUUUUGUUGUUUGUUGUGACUGUUUCCAAUGAAUACUAAUAAUAUUUUUUAUAUUUUAUCUACUUAAAGAAUGGCAAAAGGCAUCAUCACUAUAGCUGGUUGGCUGAGUUUAUUGAUUUUUUCACUUGUUGUGAUGAAUGCUCAAGGCCCCGUUACUAUUCGAGACGAUGCCAUCCCUAGAGGAGCAGUUUGCUUUGAUGGGAGUGCACUAGCGUACUCUUACGUUGAGGGAUCUAGAGACAACUGAUAGUUGGAUUGUGUAUCUGCAAGUGGUGGAUGGUGUUACAACUCUAUCUGAUUUAUAACAGAUCACGUACAUAUUCUUGGGGAGUAGUCACCUUAUUGAUUCUCAAACCAACUUCUUAGCGUUACUGGAUUUAAAUUGCACAUAUGAUCUCAUCUGGGUUUCUGCAGUUGGUAGAAGGUUUAUAUUAACUAUCGUGAUGACUCAUCAUUUAUGUUAGAUAUAUUGGACACGAAGACAAACAUCUCCUUUCGAAGUGCAAGGAUUUUCAGUAUUACGAUGGAAGAAAUGAUUACUAAAGGAAUGGGAAAUGUUUGUUGGAUAAUUGAAUUUGUUGGAUGAUUGGUGGUGAAUGUUAAAGGUUGAAGAUUGUAUUAGAAGUUUUUUUAGGAGAAGUUUAUUUGAAUGUUGAAGGCAUAGUUAGAGACAAUACAAUUGUGGAUGUAAUAUCUUUUGAUGAAA